rnacentral:rRNA from 1 species
AGUGAACGCUGGCGGUAGGCCUAACACAUGCAAGUCGAACGGCGGCACAGUAAGAGCUUGCUCUUACGGGUGGCGAGUGGCGGACGGGUGAGGAAUACAUCGGAAUCUACUUUUUCGUGGGGGAUAACGUAGGGAAACUUACGCUAAUACCGCAUACGACCUACGGGUGAAAGCAGGGGAUCUUCGGACCUUGCGCGAUUGAAUGAGCCGAUGUCGGAUUAGCUAGUUGGCGGGGUAAAGGCCCACCAAGGCGACGAUCCGUAGCUGGUCUGAGAGGAUGAUCAGCCACACUGGAACUGAGACACGGUCCAGACUCCUACGGGAGGCAGCAGUGGGGAAUAUUGGACAAUGGGCGCAAGCCUGAUCCAGCCAUACCGCGUGGGUGAAGAAGGCCUUCGGGUUGUAAAGCCCUUUUGUUGGGGAAGAAAAGCAGCAGGUUAAUACCCCGCUGUUCUGACGGUACCCAAAGAAUAAGCACCGGCUAACUUCGUG